rnacentral:rRNA from 1 species
GUUGUUGGGUAGGGGAGCGUUCUGUAAGCCUGCGAAGGUGACCUGUGAGGGUUGCUGGAGGUAUCAGAAGUGCGAAUGCUGACAUAAGUAACGAUAAAGCGGGUGAAAAGCCCGCUCGCCGGAAGACCAAGGGUUCCUGUCCAACGUUAAUCGGGGCAGGGUGAGUCGACCCCUAAGGCGAGGCCGAAAGGCGUAGUCGAUGGGAAACAGGUUAAUAUUCCUGUACUUGGUGUUACUGCGAAGGGGGGACGGAGAAGGCUAUGUUAGCCGGGCGACGGUUGUCCCGGUUUAAGCAUGUAGGCUGAUUAUCCAGGCAAAUCCGGAUAAUCAAGGCUGAGGUGUGAUGACGAGGCACUACGGUGCUGAAGUAACAAAUGCCCUGCUUCCAGGAAAAGCCUCUAAGCAUCAGGUAACAUCAAAUCGUACCCCAAACCGACACAGGUGGUCAGGUAGAGAAUACCAAGGCGCUUGAGAGAACUCGGGUGAAGGAACUAGGCAAAAUGGUGCCGUAACUUCGGGAGAAGGCACGCUGGUGUGUAGGUGAAGUCCCUGCGGAUGGAGCUGAGACCAGUCGAAGAUACCAGCUGGCUGCAACUGUUUAUUAAAAACACAGCACUGUGCAAACACGAAAGUGGACGUAUACGGUGUGACGCCUGCCCGGUGCCGGAAGGUUAAUUGAUGGGGUUAUCCGUAAGGAGAAGCUCUUGAUCGAAGCCCCGGUAAACGGCGGCCGUAACUAUAACGGUCCUAAGGUAGCGAAAUUCCUUGUCGGGUAAGUUCCGACCUGCACGAAUGGCGUAAUGAUGGCCAGGCUGUCUCCACCCGAGACUCAGUGAAAUUGAACUCGCUGUGAAGAUGCAGUGUACCCGCGGCAAGACGGAAAGACCCCGUGAACCUUUACUAUAGCUUGACACUGAACAUUGAGCCUUGAUGUGUAGGAUAGGUGGGAGGCUUUGAAGCGUGGACGCCAGUCUGCGUGGAGCCAACCUUGAAAUACCACCCUUUAAUGUUUGAUGUUCUAACGUGGGCCCCUUAUCGGGGUUGCGGACAGUGUCUGGUGGGUAGUUUGACUGGGGCGGUCUCCUCCCAAAGCGUAACGGAGGAGCACGAAGGUUAGCUAAUCCUGGUCGGACAUCAGGAGGUUAGUGCAAUGGCAUAAGCUAGCUUGACUGCGAGCGUGACGGCGCGAGCAGGUGCGAAAGCAGGUCAUAGUGAUCCGGUGGUUCUGAAUGGAAGGGCCAUCGCUCAACGGAUAAAAGGUACUCCGGGGAUAACAGGCUGAUACCGCCCAAGAGUUCAUAUCGACGGCGGUGUUUGGCACCUCGAUGUCGGCUCAUCACAUCCUGGGGCUGAAGUAGGUCCCAAGGGUAUGGCUGUUCGCCAUUUAAAGUGGUACGCGAGCUGGGUUUAGAACGUCGUGAGACAGUUCGGUCCCUAUCUGCCGUGGGCGCUGGAGAAUUGAGGGGGGCUGCUCCUAGUACGAGAGGACCGGAGUGGACGCAUCACUGGUGUUCGGGUUGUCAUGCCAAUGGCACUGCCCGGUAGCUAAAUGCGGAAGAGAUAAGUGCUGAAAGCAUCUAAGCACGAAACUUGCCCCGAGAUGAGUUCUCCCUGAGACUUUAAGUCUCCUGAAGGAACGUUGAAGACGACGACGUUGAUAGGCCGGGUGUGUAAGCGCAGCGAUGCGUUGAGCUAACCGGUACUAAUGAACCGUGAGGCUUAACCUU